AAGUCGGUUGUGAAAGCCUUCCGCUUAACGGAAGAACGGCAUCCGAUACUGCAUAGCUCGAGUGCGGGAGGGGAGAGUGGAACUUCUGGUGGAGCGGUGAAAUGCGUAGAUAUCAGAAGGAACACCGGCGGCGAAGGCGACUCUCUGGCCCGUAACUGACGCUGAGUGUGCGAAAGCUAGGGGAGCAAACGGGAUUAGAUACCCCGGUAGUCCUAGCCGUAAACGAUGGGCACUAGGUAGAGGGGUUUUGAUUAUCUCUCUGCCGGAGCUAACGCAUUAAGUGCCCCGCCUGGGGAGUACGGCCGCAAGGCUAAAACUCAAAAGAAUUGACGGGGGCUCGCACAAGCGGUGGAGCAUGUGGCUUAAUUCGAUGCAACGCGAAGAACCUUACCGGGGUUUGACAUGAUGGAAGUAGGAGCCCGAAAGGGCAACGAACGGUAUCCAGUCCGUAACUAUCACAGGUGUUGCAUGGCUGUCGUCAGCUCGUGUCGUGAGACGUUGGGUUAAGUCCCCUAACGAGCGAAACCCUUGUCUUUAGUUGCCAACAGGUCAUGCUGGGUACUCUAAAGAGACUGCCGUCGUCAAGACGGAGGAAGGUGGGGAUGACGUCAAGUCAUCAUGGCCCUUAUAUCCCGGGCUGCACACGUGCUACAAUGGUCGGUACAAAGGGAUGCUAA
rnacentral:rRNA from 1 species